rnacentral:lncRNA from 1 species
UAAGUAUCUUCAAACUGUUAAUUUAUUAUUUAAUUGAGCUUUUUUUUUAUUUGAUUUUUUUUCAGCUUUCAAAUUCAUGCAGAUGGGUUUUCAGUCCAAAGUCCAGUAUUAUCAGUCUGUACAAUUGUAGGUACAGUGCAGGUGGACGCAGAGCUGAUCCCUGGAAUAGUGCUCACCUUGUGAUUGACACCUGUUCUGGAAGGGCUGCUCAUUGACUAGAGGGUAAAAAAUAUUUUUUUUUAUUCCACUGGUGCCACACCUGAUACCGAUGUCACAAAAAUGACAAUUUGUUUUUUUUCACUAGAAUAUUAAGUCAGGGAUCCACUGCAGUUAUAUUCCAUAAUUUGUAAUAAUAAAACAAAAUGUUGAAAUACAUUUUGAAAAACAUCAGUCCAGUCAGUCCAUCAGUGUUUUCCAAAGCUCUUUAACUCUUGGUCCAGUGCAAAAU